UACGAAGGGGGCUAGCGUUGUUCGGAAUCACUGGGCGUAAAGGGCGCGUAGGCGGCCGUUCAAGUCGGGGGUGAAAGCCUGUGGCUCAACCACAGAAUUGCCUUCGAUACUGGACGGCUCGAGACCGGAAGAGGUCGGUGGAACUGCGAGUGUAGAGGUGAAAUUCGUAGAUAUUCGCAAGAACACCAGUGGCGAAGGCGGCUCACUGGCCCGAUACUGACGCUGAGGCACGAAAGCGUGGGGAGCAAACAGGG
rnacentral:rRNA from 1 species